GAGGAAUAUUGGACAAUGGGCGCAAGCCUGAUCCAGCCAUGCCGCGUGAGUGAUGAAGGCCUUCGGGUUGUAAAGCUCUUUCAGAUGCGAAGAUAAUGACGGUAACAUCAGAAGAAGCCCCGGCUAAAUUCGUGCCAGCAGCCGCGGUAAUACGAAUGGGGCAAGCGUUGUUCGGAAUCACUGGGCUUAAAGCGUGCGUAGGCGGAUUUGCAAGUCAGAAGUGAAAUCCCAGGGCUUAACCCUGGAAUUGCUUUUGAAACUGCAAAUUUAGAAGAUUGAAGAGGUUAGCAGAAUUCCGAGUGUAGAGGUGAAAUUCGCAGAUAUUCGGAGGAAUACCAAUGGCGUAGGCAGCUAACUGGGCAAUUUUUGACGCUGAGGCACGAAAGCGUGGGGAGCAAAC
rnacentral:rRNA from 1 species